rnacentral:tRNA from 1 species
GGAUUGUGGCUCAGUGGUAGAGGGCUUGCCUAGCAUGCGCAGGACCCUGAGUUUGAUCCUCAGCACCA